GAUGAACGCUGGCGGCGUGCCUAAUACAUGCAAGUCGAACGCUGGAGAUCUAUCUUGCUAGCUCGAAGGAGUGGCGAACGGGUGAGUAAUACAUAAGCAACCUACCCACGAAGACUGGGAUAAUCUCUGGAAACGGGGACUAAUACCGGAUAGGUAAUCGGAAGGCAUCUUCUGGUUAUUAAAGGUUAAAAACACUGGUGGAUGGGCUUAUGGCGCAUUAGUUAGUUGGUGAGGUAACGGCCCACCAAGACGAUGAUGCGUAGCCGGCCUGAGAGGGUGAACGGCCACAUUGGGACUGAGACACGGCCCAGACGCCUACGGGAGGCAGCAGUAGGGAAUUGUCGGCAAUGGGGGCAACCCUGACCGAGCAACGCCGCGUGAGUGAAGACGGCCUUCGGGGUGUAAAGCUCUGUUGUAAGGGAAGAACGGUAGAUAGAGAAUAUCUAAGUGACGGUACCUGACCAGAAAGCCACGGCUAACUACGUG
rnacentral:rRNA from 1 species